GAUGAACGCUGGCGGCGUGCUUAACACAUGCAAGUCGAACGAAGCAUUUACGACAGAUUCUUUCGGGAUGAAGUUGUUUAUGACUGAGUGGCGGACGGGUGAGUAACGCGUGGGUAACCUGCCUCAUACAGGGGGAUAGCAGCUGGAAACGGCUGGUAAUACCGCAUAAGCGCACAGAAUCGCAUGAUUCAGUGUGAAAAACUCCGGUGGUAUGAGAUGGACCCGCGUCUGAUUAGCUAGUUGGUGAGGUAACGGCCCACCAAGGCGACGAUCAGUAGCCGACCUGAGAGGGUGACCGGCACAUUGGGACUGAGACACGGCCCAGACUCCUACGGGAGCAGCAGUGGGGAAUAUUGCACAAUGGAGGAAACUCUGAUGCAGCGACGCCGCGUGAGUGAAGAAGUAAUUCGUAUGUAAAGCUCAUCAGCAGGGACGAGCAGAAGACGGUACCUGACGAAUAAG
rnacentral:rRNA from 1 species